rfam:Gossypium hirsutum cultivar TM-1 chromosome 6, whole genome shotgun sequence
AAGUCGUGAUGAGGGCAAUUUCGUAGUAAUUCCUUGAACAGCUCCCAUGCCUCAAAUAAAGAUUCUUCAUCAAGUUGUUGAAAUGAAGUGUUUUCAUUUUGGAUCUU